GCGCCCGUAGCUCAGCUGGAUAGAGCAUCGGCCUACGAAGCCGGGGGUCGGGAGUUCGAAUCUCUCCGGGCGCGCCA
rnacentral:tRNA from 1 species